rnacentral:rRNA from 1 species
AUUUCCGGUUGAUCCCGGCCAGACCCAACUGCUAUCGGGUUGAGACUAAGCCAUGCGAGUUGCGCGCUUCCUAGCCAUGUUGGAAGAGCAGCGCACGGCUCAAUAUCAUGUGGCUAACCUGCCCUCGGGACAGAGACACCCUCGGGAAACUGAGGUCAAUCUUCGAUAGAAGAGAAUGCCUGGAAUGGUUUCUUUUCCAAACGGAACCGAGAACAUGCUCUCGGCUUCGCCCAAGGAUGGGGCCGCACCCGAUCAGGUUGUUGGUGAGGUAAUGGCUCACCAAGCCUAUAACCGGUACGGGCCAUGAGAGUGGUAGCCCGAAGAUGGGCACUGAGACAAGGGCCCAGGUCCUACGGGACGCAGCAGGCGCGAAAACUCCGCAAUGCGCGAAAGCGCGACGGGGUCACCCCGAGUGCCGCCCGCUGAGGGCGGCUUUUCCCUAGUCUAAUCCGCUAGGGGAAUAAGGGGAGGGCAAGCCUGGUGUCAGCCGCCGCGGUAAUACCAGCUCCUCGAGUGGUUGGGACGAUUAUUGGGUCUAAAGCGUCCGUAGCCGGCCGGAAAAGUUCUCCGUUAAAUCCAACGAUCCAAUCGUUGGGCCGCGGGGAAUACUCUUCGGCUUGGGGGCGAGGGAGGUCGGCGGUAGUCUCGGGGCAGGGGCGAAAUCCUAUAAUCCCGAGAGGACCACCAGUGGCGAAGGCGGCCGACUAAAGCGCGCCCGACGGUGAGGGACGAAAGCUGGGGGAGCGAACGGGAUUAGAUACCCCGGUAGUCCCAGCUGUAAACGAUGCAGGCUAGGUGUUGGGACGGCCACGAGCUGUCCCAGUGCCGCAGGGAAGCCAUUAAGCCUGCCACCUGGGGAGUACGGUCGCAAGGCUGAAUUCUCUUUGAGCAUUCGCUCGAGAGACAGUUGACUUAAAGGAAUGGGCGGGGAACACU